AUACGGAGGGUGCAAGCGUUACUCGGAAUCACUGGGCGUAAAGCGCGCGCAGGCGGGCUGAUAAGUUGGAUGUGAAAGCCUACGGCUCAACCGUAGAACUGCAUCCAAAACUGUCAGUCUAGAGUCUGGGAGGGGAAGAUGGAAUUAGUUGUGUAGGGGUAAAAUCCGUAGAGAUAACUAGGAAUACCAAAAGCGAAGGCGAUCUUCUGGAACAGUACCGACGCUGAGGCGCGAAAGCGUGGGGAGCAAACAGGAUUAGAAACCCUAGUAGUCC
rnacentral:rRNA from 1 species